rnacentral:rRNA from 1 species
CAGUCGCCGCGGGAAAACGGAGGGGGCUAGCGUUGUUCGGAAUUACUGGGCGUAAAGCGCACGUAGGCGGCUUGGUAAGUUAGAGGUGAAAGCCCGGAGCUCAACUCCGGAAUUGCCUUUAAGACUGCCGAGCUAGUAGGUGAGAGAGGUAAGUGGAAUUCCGAGUGUAGAGGUGAAAUUCGUAGAGGUCGGGAGGAACAUCAGUGGCGAAGGCGGCCAUCUGGGACAACACUGACGCUGAGGCACGAAAGCGUGGGGAGCAAACAGGAUUAGAUACCCGCGUAGUCCCUGUCUCUUAUAC